UACGUAGGGGGCAAGCGUUGUCCGGAAUCACUGGGCGUAAAGCGCACGUAGGCGGACUCUUAAGUCGGUGGUGAAAUCCUGGAGCUCAACUCCAGAAUUGCCUUCGAUACUGGGAGUCUUGAGUCCGGGAGAGGUGAGUGGAACUGCGAGUGUAGAGGUGAAAUUCGUAGAUAUUCGCAAGAACACCAGUGGCGAAGGCGGCUCACUGGCCCGGUACUGACGCUGAGGUGCGAAAGCGUGGGGAGCAAACAGG
rnacentral:rRNA from 1 species